rnacentral:rRNA from 1 species
UACAGAGGUCUCAAGCUUUGUUCGGAUUCACUGGGCGUAAAGGGUGCGUAGGCGGUUGGGUAAGUCUGUCGUGAAAUCUCCGAGCCUAACUCGGAAACUGCGUCGGAUACUAUUCAACUCGAGGAAUGGAGGGGAGACUGGAAUUUACGGUGUAGCGGUGAAAUGCGUAGAUAUCGUAAGGAAGACCAGUGGCGAAGGCGGGUCUCUGGACAGUUCCUGACGCUGAGGCACGAAGGCCAGGGGAGCAAACGGG